UCUCGGCUAAAAUUGCAUCGCUU
rnacentral:miRNA from 1 species